GGGAACAUAACAGGAUGUGUUCAUUUUUCAGAUUCACAUGAUUUUGGAUUCAAAAUGAUAAAGACAAAACAGCAGAACAAAACAUCAGCACAGAAAAAAGUAUAUUUACCAGUGAAGAAAAAGGAGUACCUACCUGGGGAAGUGAAUUUGGCUUUCUUUUGCCUGUAGCUAGAGCUACAUUCCUGGGAUGUACAUUUCCCAGGGAUUUUUUUUCAACAGGAAUGCAACACAUGUGCCAUUACUCAGCAGAAAGAAAAGAAGAAAACAAUGUAGGGGUUUGCAGCCAGUCAGCCGACUGCAGAGACCGUGACUCAGCAGUCAGUUCUGUGGCUCUGGAGUCUGAUAAAG